GUACUUUAACAGUAUGUACUCUAUAAUUAGAUAGAUAAGGAGAUUAGCAUGGCACCUGUGCAAAGAUGAGAUGCAAAUCCACAAACUCUCCAUAUUGUA
rnacentral:snRNA from 1 species